rnacentral:rRNA from 1 species
GACAGAGGGUGCAAACGUUGCUCGGAAUUACUGGGCGUAAAGCGCGUGUAGGUGGAUUGGCGUGUCAGAUGUGAAAUCCCUGGGCUCAACCCAGGAACUGCACCUGAAACUACCAGUCUUGAGUGGUGGAGAGGGAAGUGGAAUUCCUGGUGUAGAGGUGAAAUUCGUAGAUAUCAGGAGGAACACCAGUGGCGAAGGCGGCUUCCUGGACACCAACUGACGCUGAGACGCGAAAGCGUGGGGAGCAAACAGG